AUUGUCGCACUUGGAGAAUGACCAAAAUGUCAGCCCGUGAUACAGUCAUAUAUGCAGCUCAAGUAAACAAUUUGGAAGAUACCCUAGUAGAGCAAACGCGAUCGACAGAGGCUUCUUCGAUUCCUCCCUCAUUCGGUUUUGCUUCCUCCCUCGACAGAAAUCAACAACCGGAAAGCCGAAGCCUCCCUCGAUAGAAAUCAGCUCCACUGUUGGAGCAAUUAGGGACCAGAAAGAGAUAGCUCGCGGACUAGAACAUAAUCGGUGCAGAAGAAGUAAAUCAUCCACGGAAACGCUGAGAACUCUGCCCCCUCUGAGCACGUCAUUUUCGCCUCCGUGAAAGCUAUGCUAGAUUAUGCUUGGAUGAUAGGUGUUAGGCUAUCAAGUGUCCGGUGCUGUUUCAUUUGUUGCUCUUUGAGCUGGAGAGAUGGAACAACAGGAAUUAGGUUGUGUUGAAGGCAUAUUCUCUGGUUUUGAUUAUUCUAAGGGAGCGAUUUGGGGAAACAAAUUUCCCUUUUCCUCUGCCUUGAAGGCAUAGUGAUAUGUGUUUGCUGAUUGAUAUGUGUGUUUGUUCAUACUGCCUCAGCGCUGAAAGUGUUGUUUCCUACUGCCUUAAUGCUGAAAGUGUUGUUUCCUACUGUCUCAGUGCUGGAAAUGGUGUUUGCUUAUUGAUAUGUGUGUUUUCUGUUGUACAAGUUAGUCUGGUUUCACCCAUGCGUGUCAAGGCAUUCCUUUAUAGUUUGGCUUGCUAUUCAUAACAAGCUCGCAACUAAGGACAAAAUGGCUUAAUGAUUCCAUUGCAUUGAUGAAUCUUGUGUUUUCUGCAAGUUCGAGAAGGAGACGAGGGAUCACAUAUUUUUUACCCUUCCUUUCACUAAUAGAGUGUGGGAGAGGGUGUUGAAUGCAGCUGGACAACAUAGAGAAUUGCCUUGUAGGACUAAGAUUUGAAGUUGAAUGGGCUAUUGUUAAAUUCAAGAGGAAGAGUACUUUUGUAAUUAUCCUUAGAAUUGCCUUGUAGGACUAUGUGUAUUGCAUCUAGAAUGUUAGGAAUGAUUUCAUUCACUUGGAGGUUGUGCCCACAAUAGAAGGAAUUUGGAAUGUUAUUAGACGGACAGUACAAGGCAGAUUGAUGAGGGCUCUGCAAGUGAUACUGCAGGUACAAACAGAACACCAUAAGAGGCAACUGGAAGCUUGGGGAGUUUGAUUUUUAUCUUAUUCUGUAACAAUGGUUGUAUUGGUAGUUGGUUUAAAUUGGGUUUAAGGUCUUCGUGUUUUGAUGAGCCUUGAGCCCAUGAGGUUUUUUCUUUGUUAAACUCUUGUAAAGCAGAUGCUUCCAGUUCAUUAAGAUUAAUAAAGGGCAAAGCUAAUUAUGAGCUAAAAAAA